rnacentral:rRNA from 1 species
UACGUAGGGUCCGAGCGUUGUCCGGAUUUAUUGGGCGUAAAGAGCUCGUAGGCGGUUCCGUAAGUCAGAUGUGAAAACUCAGGGCUCAACCCGGAGACGCCAUCUGAUACUGCGGUGACUGGAGUCUGGUAGGGGAACACGGAAUUCCUGGUGUAGCGGUGAAAUGCGCAGAUAUCAGGAGGAACACCAAUGGCGAAGGCAGCUCGCUGGAACGGUACUGACGCUGAGGCGCGAAAGCGUGGGGAGCGAACAGG